GUCUCAAUAAUUUAAAUAAAAUGUUGGUCUUGUAAACCAAAAAUAAGAAUUUUCUUUUAAGACU
rnacentral:tRNA from 1 species